AAUUUCUUCGAACGACAGCUUUGCUUGCAGAGUUGGCGGAUCGGUACUGAGGCUUGCCAUUUGCACUGGCUGCUUCGAAAUACAUCAGCUGGACUGUACAUGCUAGAGAGCAGAAGGAUAUACGUCCCUCUCCCUCCGGAUUUUGAUAAUUAUCAAAACACGGACGUGAUGGAAACUUCUUUUGCUUGGGCGUGAACGCUGGCUUCUUAAAACCGCCCCACUGCUUUUGGCAGAGGGGAUCUAAUUCAA
rnacentral:misc_RNA from 1 species